GGCAGGAGGAUGAGGUGGUGGCUAUAGGGCAAGUUCCUGACCGCGACACCAGGCCCCCAGCUACGGGUGCAGUAGACCAAGGUUCUUUGAAUCCUGAUGAGCAGAAAAGCAGUGGUGCUCACUCCUGGCUGAGCGCCGAGGCAGCGGAUGGUGAACAGCCCGUGGAGCUAUUCAGCAAGUUCUUGAACAGGUGCCCUGGUUCCCCGGACAGGUAAUCUCCGGAGGGUCUGAUUCAUCCCGGGGACAACGCUGAAGCUGCCUUGGGGCGCUCCUGAGAAUGAAGCGUGUGCGAAACGCGCCUCACACAGGGCCUGGCGCGGGGGCUCGGUCCAGGACGGUUUGGAGAAUGAAGCAUUUACGGCAGAAGCGGGGGCGCCUGGGUGGCUCGAUCCGCGAAGCGUCCGACUGGUCUCAGCUCGGGUCUUGACUGAGCUCGGCGGACAGUAUGCCGGGGUCACUCGCCCGCUGCCCGCCCCCCCUCCUCGCUUGCUCUCAGAUCAGUCCCAGUAAAAGCCACCAUCACACACGUCCUGACCACCUGGGUACCCUCAAACUCGCACCCAGGGGCCCCAUCUGGGCCCUGCCCCAGCCCCCUCCCUCAGCCUCCCUGGCCCAGGACGCCCCCCCCUUCCCCGGCCUCACCAGAGCACACUCGGCUCCCUCCCAACUCGCGCCGCCGGAGUCCGAUCCGAUCGGAGCGCCCAGCACGGCACGCCCUCUGCCACCCUGGCCGGACUGCGGUUUCUUCGGGGCCACACGGUGACGGACCCGCUCCGACCGCCAGCACAGCACGAAGCAUGCAGCAGAGCUGGACGCACGGGUUCCGGUGUCCGCAAGCAGUGGAAGCCUAGUGUGCUACGGUGCCUCUGUGUGGCAGAGCAUUUAAAAAUUUCCAGUUUCCCCCAAAAGUAUCCUUUUUUAACCUGUACAGUUUGUUUCUUGUCACUUCUGGGCCUCGGGCUCAUUUGCAUGGCUGGGUAGGCUGCCCCGUCUCUAUGUGGGUCACCUGGAGACCUUCGCAGGAGAGGCGGCAGCAGAAACGAGCCGGCAGGAGGCGAGAAGCAGAACAAGGUCCUGCUUUCACGUAACAGGGGGAAACGGGCAGGGAAACGGUCCCCAGUGAAUGGGACUAGUCCUUGCUGGAGGCGGAGCAGGGAGGCGCCGAGGGCUCGGGAGCUCUAGAACUACCCGGUCAGAAAUACCAACUCUCUACCGAGAAGAUGAGCUUCAAUAGCACACCUUAAUUCAUGCCUUUUCUCCGUGGAGAGGAGCUUCCCCGUUUCCCCGCUUUGCUACAGGACUCUGAUCCGUGCUCCGUGCUGUCACCUCCUUAGGCCACUGCCACCGACGGGACCUGCGAACCCCUCCCCAUGUCUGGCCCAUUCUGCCAAGACAUCGUUGCUCACCCAGGCCGGAC